rnacentral:lncRNA from 1 species
AUGAUGACCAAUAUUGCAGGCCUUUCCAAUACUUUUUAUUUUUCAUUUAGGCUGGCUCCCAGGGAAAUACCAUGCCAGUGUUCCACAGAUUUCACUGGAUACCAGUCAGUUUCUUCUGGCAUCCUGACCAUUUUUGGAGAUGGAGAUACACAUGCUGUAUUUGACCAUCUGUGCAUCCUACCUUCUCAUAUGACAAAGGCAGAACAAUUAUUGAAAGAGAUGGUGAUGUGGGUGAAUGUUAUUAUUCAGAUUAUAUUGGCUCCUGGCAUAAUAGAUAAGGCUACUGGGUUUGAUAUCAGGAUGACCAGGGUGUAA